rnacentral:rRNA from 1 species
UGGGGAAUAUUGGGCAAUGGGGGCAACCCUGACCCAGCGACGCCGCGUGAGGGAAGACGGCCUUCGGGUUGUAAACCCCUUUUGUACGGGAAGAAGGAAGUGACGGUACUGUACGAAUAAGUCCCGGCUAACUACGUGCCAGCAGCCGCGGUAAUACGUAGGGGACGAGCGUUGUCCGGAAUUACUGGGCGUAAAGGGCGCGCAGGCUGUGCUGCAAGUCAGCUGUGAAAUGUCUGGGCUUAACCCGGGCAUGCGGUUGAGACUGCAGUGCCGGAGUGCUGUAGAGGCAAGUGGAAUUCCCAGUGUAGCGGUGAAACGCGUAGAUAUUGGGAAGAACACCGGUGGCGAAGGCGACUUGCUGGGCAGCAACUGACGCUGAGGCGCGAAAGCCAGGGGAGCAAACGG